AUUGAACGCUGGCGGCAUGCUUUACACAUGCAAGUCGAACGGUAACAGGCCUUCGGGUGCUGACGAGUGGCGAACGGGUGAGUAAUGCAUCGGAACGUACCCAGAGGUGGGGGAUAACGCAGCGAAAGCUGUGCUAAUACCGCAUGUGAUCUGAGGAUGAAAGCGGGGGACCGAGCAGCAAUGUUUGGCCUCGCGCCUUUGUAGCGGCCGAUGUCGGAUUAGCUAGUUGGUGGGGUAAAGGCCUACCAAGGCGACGAUCCGUAGCUGGUCUGAGAGGACGACCAGCCACACUGGGACUGAGACACGGCCCAGACUCCUACGGGAGGCAGCAGUGGGGAAUUUUGGACAAUGGGCGCAAGCCUGAUCCAGCAAUGCCGCGUGCGGGAAGAAGGCCUUCGGGUUGUAAACCGCUUUUGGCAGGAACGAAACGGUGUCCGCUAAUACCGGGCGCUAAUGACGGUACCGGCAGAAUAAGCACCGGCUAACUACGUG
rnacentral:rRNA from 1 species